rnacentral:rRNA from 1 species
ACGGAAGGCAGCAGUGGGGAAUAUUGCACAAUGGGGGAAACCCUGAUGCAGCAACGCCGCGUGAGUGAUGACGGCCUUCGGGUUGUAAAGCUCUGUCUUCAGGGACGAUAAUGACGGUACCUGAGGAGGAAGCCACGGCUAACUACGUGCCAGCAGCCGCGGUAAUACGUAGGUGGCGAGCGUUGUCCGGAUUUACUGGGCGUAAAGGGAGCGUAGGCGGAUUUUUAAGUGAGAUGUGAAAUACUCGGGCUUAACCUGAGUGCUGCAUUUCAAACUGGAAGUCUAGAGUGCAGGAGAGGAGAAGGGAAUUCCUAGUGUAGCGGUGAAAUGCGUAGAGAUUAGGAAGAACACCAGUGGCGAAGGCGCUUCUCUGGACUGUAACUGACGCUGAGGCUCGAAAGCGUGGGGAGCAAACAGGAUUAGAUACCCUGGUA